ensembl:misc_RNA
AGAAUCCAUGUGGGGUCGGCCGGCUCCGGAGCUGCGCGUGGUGGACACACAAAACCAAACGCCCAAGUUGGAAAA